UAUUCUGCAUCGAGUACCUUUUAUGUUUGUGUAUUAAUCAUGUUUAAGGAAAAUUUCGUUUCGAAAUUUUGGAGAGCCAUGUUAUUGGCGUGCAGUUAUUUUACCCAAAAGUCUAUCAAAUUAAGUUAUGUUCCGGUUCUCUCUUUUUGUUACGUCAUCGCCUUUUUUCUCUUGCAUUCUCUUUGUUCAUUACGUGGCAAUUUCAGUUUAGUUGAUCCUUAAGUGAUUUGAAUGAACGUUGGUGCUAAACUUCUGUAGUGAACGGAAGUAGUUUAUAGCCACAAAUUUUCAGUUACCGCAAUCCGCAAUCCGCAAUCCGCAAUCCGCAAUCCACAAAUAAUACAAUUAAAAGAUUUGCGCGUUUGACUGAUUGGCUAUAACACCAACGAAGAAAAAAAAUAAAAAGAGACAGAGUCCAGAAGACCUGCCCAAUAACAAGAGUUUUUAACAAUUGUUUUUGAGGGUUUCAGGAUACAGAUAUGAGAUUACAGACACGUCUGCGUUUUUAAAAGACGCAAUACUUAGAAGUGUGUCGCUUGCUUUAAAACCGGCGUGGGAAGAGGGAAUAGGUGUUUGUUUAUUUGUUAAUGCUUAAGUGCAUUGGCAUUUCUAAACGGGUAAUUAUGUGAGGUGUAAAACGAGAUGCUGCCAUGCCUUACGUUUAUAAAGAAAAGCGUAUUGUGUAGUCAAAGAAAUUUUUCCCCUUAUUUAUAGUUGCGCUAUUAACCAAUUGACGCCUUUAUGUGUUUGCUGGCAAAUAAUAUCCCCGUUUGAAUAAUUACUAGAAACUGCAUGGCACAUACAUAAAGUGCUUAUAUUAAAUUAAAGAAACACUUACUGUAUGACAACCAGUUAACCAUUAACACUGCGAUUACAUUGUGUAUAUAGAUACAAGGAAUUCUAGCGGUGCAAUAAACUAGCGAGUCGAACCAAAGGAAUGCGUUAAAUUUGUAACGGCAAAUACAUAACAUGGUAAACUGAAAACUGGAAUGUGACUGUUUUGAAUUAACACUUGGUCCGAUUUUGCUUCUAAGUGCAACUAAAAUACACCUAGGCCCUUAAGGGUAAAAGCCUAAUACAAUAUUUCAUUUAAGGUAGGUAUUUAUAGUUUUUUUCGACAAUUUUUUAAACUUUUUUCGCCAUUUUUUUGGGCCCGAAAGGGUAAAAAUUUAAUCAAAGAUGGUUUAAAAACUUUAAAAGAUCGUAAAGUAUAAACCCACGUGUGAGUGUGGCGUAAUUUUGCGUUCGACGAGCAUUAAAUAACAUAUAUUUCCGCCGGCCUGAGAAUUUGAGCAAUCAAACGUUUUUAUAAUUUAUUUACCAAACCUUACUUAAGUAUAUUUGGAUGUGAAAGUCGGUUCAUGAGUUGUACUUCACGUAAUAUGUUCAUCUUUGUAUUUGUGUCUCUGUUCCUCUUCAGUACCAUUACCUUCCCUGUGAGUUUGUGGGUGACCU